rnacentral:rRNA from 1 species
AGCUAUGGAGUAAUAUAUUAUAAGUUUUUAGUUAUCCGUUUUAUUGGGUUCUGUUAAGCUUCUAUAGUAGUGAUAUGCUAUUCGGUUACUAUGAUAUCUGGUUCUCUUAGAAACGAAUUUAGUUCGGGUUUGUUUGUAUGUUAUUUGUUACUUUUGGAGGUUUUUAUUUAUGUGUAUUAUGUUAAAUAUUGACUGAUGGAAUAUUCUAAUUUGGAUAUAUCUAACUGGGAUGGGGAUUAGCUCAUUUUAGUUUAAAUAAUUAUAAAGUGUAAGUUAUUACUAUAUUGGGUUUUAGGUUUUGAAUCUGUUAUAUUUGUAAAGUUCGUUGUAGGAGUCCUUUAAUGAGUAAAUGUUUUGGUGAUAUAUUUGAUUGUUUAUUGUUUUUAAUUUUUGUAUGGGGGUGUUUUGUUUAAUUUUGUAUAAAGAAGUAAUUAUUCCUUAAUUAGUAGAUUAUUAAUAAUGUUUGUAUUUUGGUUGUUGUGGAUUUAGAGUAUUAGGAUUCAAUAGUUUAAGUUUUAAUAAAGGAAUUAGGCAAAAGAUAAUGUCUGCCUGUUUAAUAAAAACAUGGCUUUUUGUUUAAUAUAAUAAGUCUGGCCUGCCCUCUGAUAUUUGAUAAUUGAAGGGCUGCAGUAUACUUGACUGUACAAAGGUAGCAUAGUAGUUUGCCUAUUAAUUGUUGGCUUGUAUGAAUGGUUUGACAAGAUGUUAACUGUCUCUAUUAUAUAUUGUUUAAUUUUACCUCCUUAAGUGAAUAGGCUAGGAUGGUUCUGAGGGACGAAAAGACCCUAUAGAUUUUUACUUAAUGAUUUAUAUAUAUUAUUGGCGAAAUUAUGUAUUAAUCGCUUGUAUAAUGUAUUGAGUUUUACUGGGGCGGUAGUUAAAGAUAUAGAUCUUUAGUUUAUUUAAUUCACUUAUAAGUGUGGUGAUCCUUUAUUAUGGAUAGUAAGAUUUAAAUACCUUAGGGAUAACAGCG